rnacentral:lncRNA from 1 species
CUGUGUAUAAUAAACGCUUGUUUGACGCUACCUAAAAUAAAGUUGACGUUCUGUACAAAUAUACUUAACUUUUAUUUUUUUCAACAGAUAACCUUCAACUUAAAUGAUGUCCCGGUUACUGUGCAGGAAAAGUCCUGCGGGGAAGGCCCUUAGUACUUUACCAAUCAGCACACUACAGGACCAUGGGCUUUAAAAGUGUGCCUGUUCCUUUAUCCUGUACCAGUACAUGGCCAAGCACGCAGGGAACUGCACAAGAGGCUACUGCAGAAAUGGUGGUAAAAAAAAUCCACAAAUACGACAAAAAGAACAGCUGGAGGAGGUGUGCAUGGAUCGGGAAGUCUGGGCAUCUCUGCUGAGACUGCUGCCUCCGCGACCCGGCCCCGGAUAAAGCGGAAGAAAAUGGAUGGAUGGACGACAAAAAUAAAACUUUCUACAGAAAAUCAACAUCAUUUAGUGGAGCUUCAAACAUACAUAUAUGCAGAGAGUCAUUCACAAUAAAGGCCUGCAACUAACAAUUUCUGUCUGUCUGCUACACAUCAACUCCAGGAAUGAUUGAGACUUGGAUCUAUCCAUGUUACGAUUGCUGAAAUAGAACCUGAAGAUGUGCUUUAAUUUUUUUUCAUGGGUCUAUGGCAUCUUCCCGACAGUUGCCUCACUCUGAGUCUGCACUAUAUUUGAAACUGAUGGGAAAAAUGUUAGACAAUACACUACUCAUGAUCAACUGGAAUGAACAGUGUAAUGCUAAUCCCACUUGCUCUUGUGUAACAGAGAUGUAUUAUUGAAUUUCCUUAAAGAUUAUUUGUUUUUGUUGUUGUACCUUUGGAGCCACCUGGUGGUGGUUUUGGUAACUGUAUGCUA